UGCUUACGGGAGGCAGCAGUGGGGAAUAUUGCACAAUGGGGGGAACCCUGAUGCAGCGACGCCGCGUGGGCGAUGGAGUAUUUCGGUAUGUAAAGCCCUAUCGGCAGGGAAGAAACUGACAGUACCUGACUAAGAAGCCCCGGCUAACUACGUGCCAGCAGCCGCGGUAAUACGUAGGGGGCAAGCGUUAUCCGGAUUUACUGGGUGUAAAGGGAGCGUAGACGGCCAGACAAGUCUGAAGUGAAAAUCCAGCGCUUAACGUUGGAAGUGCUUUGGAAACUGCCGGGCUGGAGUGCAGGAGGGGG
rnacentral:rRNA from 1 species